GUUCGUUCUCGGGGACUGAGAGGGACCAGACAUCAAUCCAGGUUCUCCACAUCUUUCUAAACAAGUCUCUCCUAUUUCAAACUUGGCUCCCGACUGGAAGGCACUGGAAAUCUGGGAGGCUGCUGGGGCCUUAAAUGCUUCCUGGAGGCCGGGGGCAUGUCAAGGCCCAGGGAGUGAAGUGUGGCCCUCAAGUCUUUGAGGCCAUGAAGCUUGGAGUCUGUCUGUUCAGAGAACGGAGAGGUACCCUCGAAGGGGAGGUCCUGGACUGCUAAACCCUGUGAGAGAGGCCUGAAGACUAGAGUCACGAACAGCGCCUCAUGGCAACCGCUGACACCAUCGUUCUGGUUGCUGAGUCGGCCACCUCCAGAGCUGCCUGGAGGGAGGUCCUGGCCAUCUUCUUGUCUUCCACCAGGAUGGCCACGAACUCCUGCCUUGACUUCCUGUGGCAGGAAAUUCUUAAACUUGGCUGAGUCCCACAGAUUAAAAUUGUACAUCUCUAGCCGAGCCUGCUGGUUAGAGAUACGUAGCUGGAGACUGCCCGUUGAAUAAACCUUGUGUCUGAACA